GAUGAACGCUGGCGGCGUGCCUAAUACAUGCAAGUCGAGCGAACGGACGAGAAGCUUGCUUCUCUGAUGUUAGCGGCGGACGGGUGAGUAACACGUGGAUAACCUACCUAUAAGACUGGGAUAACUUCGGGAAACCGGAGCUAAUACCGGAUAAUAUUUUGAACCGCAUGGUUCAAAAGUAAAAGACGGUCUUGCUGUCACUUAUAGAUGGAUCCGCGCUGCAUUAGCUAGUUGGUAAGGUAACGGCUUACCAAGGCAACGAUGCAUAGCCGACCUGAGAGGGUGAUCGGCCACACUGGAACUGAGACACGGUCCAGACUCCUACGGGAGGCAGCAGUAGGGAAUCUUCCGCAAUGGGCGAAAGCCUGACGGAGCAACGCCGCGUGAGUGAUGAAGGUCUUCGGAUCGUAAAACUCUGUUAUUAGGGAAGAACAUAUGUGUAAGUAACUGUGCACAUCUUGACGGUACCUAAUCAGAAAGCCACGGCUAACUACGUGCCAGCAGCCGCGGUAAUACGUAAGUGGCAAGCGUUAUCCGGAAAUAUUGGGCGUAAAGCGCGCGUAGGCGGUUUUUUAGUCUGAUGUGAAAGCCCACGGCUCAACCGUGGAGGGUCAUUGGAAACUGGAAAACUUGAGUGCAGAAGAGGAAAGUGGAAUUCCAUGUGUAGCGGUGAAAUGCGCAGAGAUAUGGAGGAACACCAGUGGCGAAGGCGACUUUCUGGUCUGUAACUGACGCUGAUGUGCGAAAGCGUGGGGAUCAAACAGGAUUAGAUACCCUGGUAGUCCACGCCGUAAACGAUGAGUGCUAAGUGUUAGGGGGUUUCCGCCCCUUAGUGCUGCAGCUAACGCAUUAAGCACUCCGCCUGGGGAGUACGACCGCAAGGUUGAAACUCAAAGGAAUUGACGGGGACCCGCACAAGCGGUGGAGCAUGUGGUUUAAUUCGAAGCAACGCGAAGAACCUUACCAAAUCUUGACAUCCUUUGACAACUCUAGAGAUAGAGCCUUCCCCUUCGGGGGACAAAGUGACAGGUGGUGCAUGGUUGUCGUCAGCUCGUGUCGUGAGAUGUUGGGUUAAGUCCCGCAACGAGCGCAACCCUUAAGCUUAGUUGCCAUCAUUAAGUUGGGCACUCUAAGUUGACUGCCGGUGACAAACCGGAGGAAGGUGGGGAUGACGUCAAAUCAUCAUGCCCCUUAUGAUUUGGGCUACACACGUGCUACAAUGGACAAUACAAAGGGCAGCGAAACCGCGAGGUCAAGCAAAUCCCAUAAAGUUGUUCUCAGUUCGGAUUGUAGUCUGCAACUCGACUACAUGAAGCUGGAAUCGCUAGUAAUCGUAGAUCAGCAUGCUACGGUGAAUACGUUCCCGGGUCU
rnacentral:rRNA from 1 species